rnacentral:rRNA from 1 species
CUGUCUUAUUUUAAAAUAUUAAAUUUAACUUUUAAGUGAAAAGGCUUAAAUUUCAUAAAGGGACGAUAAGACCCUAUAAAACUUAAUAUUGGGUAUUUUAGUUUUUAUAUUUGUUAGUUUAUUAAUAAGUAAAAUAUAAAAUAUUAUGCUGGGGCGGCAGAGAUAUAUAUGAACUGUUUUUGUAAAUAACAGAAAUAUCUGGUUAAAAUGUUCCUUUAGUAUGAAGAGUAAAAGAUUAAGUUACUUUAGGGAUAACAGCGUAAUCUUUUUUGAGAGUUCUUAUCGAUAGAAAGGAUUGCGACCUCGAUGUUGAAUUAAAAGUUCUCUAUGGUGCAGCAUUUAUAGAAGAAGGUCUGUUCGACCUUUAAUUUUUUA